rnacentral:rRNA from 1 species
GGAAUGGAUCGUGUCUUAAAUCUACAUGGCCCCUGGAUUGGACUGCGGCCGAUCAGGCUGUUGGUGAGGUAAUGGCCCACCAAACCUAUAACCGGUACGGGCUCUGAGAGGAGAAGCCCGGAGAUGGGCACUGAGACAAGGGCCCAGGCCCUAUGGGGCGCAGCAGGCGCGAAACCUCUGCAAUGGGCGAGAGCCUGACAGGGUUACUCUGAGUGAUUUCCGCUAAGGAGAUCUUUUGGCAGCUCUAAAAAUGGUGCAGAAUAAGGGGUGGGCAAGUCUGGUGUCAGCCGCCGCGGUAAUACCAGCACCCCGAGUGGUCGGGACGAUUAUUGGGCCUAAAGCAUCCGUAGCCGGUCGUGCAAGUCCUCCGUUAAAUCCAGCCGCUCAACGGAUGGGCUGCGGAGGAUACUACAGGACUAGGAGGCGGGAGAGGCAAGCGGUACUUAGUGGGUAGGGGUAAAAUCCUUUGAUCCAUUGAAGA